ensembl:rRNA 5S_rRNA 5S ribosomal RNA
GUCUAAUGCCAUACCACCCUGAUCCUGGAAGUUAAGCAGGGUCGGGCCUGGCCAGGACUUGGAUGGGAAACCGGCUAGGAAUACUGGAAGCAGUAUGCU